ncrna:Manihot esculenta miR535b stem-loop (mes-MIR535b)
AUCAUUCGUUGACAACGAGAGAGAGCACGGUUGUCAGCAUUUCAUGCAAGGGACAUGACUGUUUACAAGCGUGCUGUCUAUCGUUGUCAUAAGAAG